rnacentral:rRNA from 1 species
CAAGGAAUUUUCCCCAAUGGGCGCAAGCCUGAGGGAGCAACGCCGCGUGCAGGAUGACGGCUUUCGGGUUGUAAACUGCUUUUGGGUGGGACGAUAAUGACGGUACCACCCGAAUAAGCCCCGGCUAACUCCGUGCCAGCAGCCGCGGUAAUACGGAGGGGGCAAGCGUUGUCCGGACUUACUGGGCGUAAAGGGUCCGUAGGCGGCCUGCUGCGUCGCUGCUGAAAGCGCCCCGCUUAACGGGGCGAGGCGUGGCGAUACGAGCAGGCUUGAGGAAGGCAGAGGGUGGCGGAAUUCCGGGUGUAGUGGUGAAAUGCGUAGAGAUCCGGAGGAACGCCUGUGGCGCAAGCGGCCACCUGGGCCUUAUCUGACGCUGAGGGACGAAAGCGUGGGGAGCAAACCGG